rnacentral:rRNA from 1 species
UACGAAGGGGGCUAGCGUUAAUCGGAAUUACUGGGCGUAAAGCGUGCGCAGGCGGUUAUGCAAGACAGAGGUGAAAUCCCCGGGCUCAACCUGGGAACUGCCUUUGUGACUGCAUAGCUAGAGUACGGCAGAGGGGGAUGGAAUUCCGCGUGUAGCAGUGAAAUGCGUAGAUAUGCGGAGGAACACCGAUGGCGAAGGCAAUCCCCUGGGCCUGUACUGACGCUCAUGCACGAAAGCGUGGGGAGCAAACAGG